AGUGAACGCUGGCGGCGGGCCUAACACAUGCAAGUCGAACGGAAACGCAAUAAGCUUGUGCUCUUGAGGUUAGCGACGGACGGGCGAGUAACGCGUACAUCGGAAUCUUAUUUUUCGUGGGGAAUAACGUAAAGCAGCUUACGCUAAUACAGAAUAUGAUCUACCGCUGAGUGCAGUGGAGAUUGACACCUUGCCUGUCUCAUAUAGACGGUGCCGGAUUAGCUAGUUGGCAGGGUAAGGGCACACCAAGGCGACGAUACGUAGCGGGUCUGAGAGGAUGAUCAGCCACACUGGAACUGAGACACGGUCCAGACUCCUACGGGAGGCAGCAGUGGGGAAUCUUGGGCAAUGGGCGCAAGCCUGACGCAGCCAUACCGCGUGAGUGAAGAAGGCCUUCGGGUUGUAAAGCUCUGUUGUUGGGGAAGAACAGCUGUGGGUUUAUACACCGCCGUUCUGACGGUACCCAAUCAAAAAGCACCGGCUAACUACGUG
rnacentral:rRNA from 1 species